GCUAAAAAUUUAGCCCAUACAACCCUUAUGCCUCCUUCAACCUAUUGAAACCUAAACAAAACAUUCUACUAUUUUAGUACAGGAGAUCAAAAAAUUACCAAGCGCUUCAAACAUAGUACCGCAAGGAAAAAUGAAAUAAAAAUGAAAUAAGUCUUAAGCCCAAAAUAGCAGAGAUUACGUCCCGUACCUUUUGCAUCAUGGUCUAGCUAGUCUUCACAAGCAAAAAGAAAUUUCAGUUUGAUUCCCCGAAACUAAGAGUGCUACUUUAGAACAGCCUCAAGGGCCAACCCGUCUCUGUUGCAAAAGAGUGGGAAGAUUCUUAAGUAGAGGUGACAAGCCUACCGAACUUAGAGAUAGCUGGUUACUCAAGAAAAGAGUCUUAGCUCCACCUCAAGUUACCUUAUGUCACCAAACAGAUUAUUUAACUUGAGAGCCAUUCAAAUAAGGCACAGCUUAUUUGAAAUAGGAUACAACCUUAAAUACUGGGUAAACAACAAUAAUAGUUAUUGCUUAAGUCGGCCUAAAAGCAGCCACCUUUUAAAAAGCGUCAAAGCUUAAACACCCCUUACUAAUAAUCCCUGCAUAUUACCUGAACCCUUUAUUUCUACUGAGUAAUUUUAUACGAAUAUAAAAGCUAUUAUGCUAGAACAUGUAACAAGAUAUACUUCUCCAAAAUGUCAGUAUGAACCAAAACGGACUAUCCAUUGGUAAUUAACGUUAAUACACCUAUUAUAGCACAUACACAAGAAAACCCUAUAAAUUCUAACGUCAACCUAACACUAGAACAUUUCAGGAAAGAUUAAAAGAGAAAGAAGGAACUCGGCAAAUUUUAGCCCCGCCUGUUUACCAAAAACAUCGCCUCUUGAACAAAUAUAAGAGGUCCAGCCUGCCCAGUGACAUAGUUUAACGGCCGCGGUACCCUAACCGUGCGAAGGUAGCAUAAUCACUUGUUCCUUAAAUAGGGACUAGUAUCAACGGCAUUACGAGGGCUGUACUGUCUCCUUUCUCCAAUCAGUGAAACUGAUCUCCCCGUGAAGAAGCGGGGAUUUUAAUAUAAGACGAGAAGACCCCAUGGAGCUUUAAGCAACGAAUUUACCACAUACCAACAACUCAACUAAUCCUAAAACCUAAAUUCUAGCUUUUGGUUGGGGGGACCGCGGAGUAUAACCCAACCUCCGCAACUAAUGGGCUCUGCCCUUAUCCACGAGCUACAACUCUAAGAAUCAUAAAAUUGAUGUCUUUGACCCGAAAACCUCGAUCAAUGAACCAAGUUACCCUGGGGAUAACAGCGCAAUCUACUUUAAGAGCCCCUAUCGACAAGUAGGUUUACGACCUCGAUGUUGGAUCAGGGUAUCCUAGUGGUGCAGCCGCUACUAAUGGUUCGUUUGUUCAACGAUUAAAACCCUA
rnacentral:rRNA from 1 species